GACAGAGGGUGCAAACGUUGUUCGGAAUUACUGGGCGUAAAGCGCGUGUAGGCGGCUAUGUAAGUCGGGCGUGAAAUCCCACGGCUCAACCGUGGAAGUGCACUCGAAACUGCAUAGCUAGAGUCCUGGAGAGGAAGGUGGAAUACUUGGUGUAGAGGUGAAAUUCGUAGAUAUCAAGCGGAACACCGGUGGCGAAGGCGGCCUUCUGGACAGUGACUGACGCUGAGACGCGAAAGCGUGGGGAGCAAACAGG
rnacentral:rRNA from 1 species